UGGGCUCCGCGGUCGCCGCUGCCCGCACCCCGCGCCCGCCCGCCCGCAGCAUGCGCCAGAAAACACUAGAAAUUUACUCUGUGGAGCUCAAUGGAACUAAAGACAUCGAGAAAACAGACGAGGGGGAUGGCAAGGAGAAGAAGUACAGGGGCCUGAAGAACAAAGGCCCGGACCCCAAAAAGCAGCAUCAGAAAGAGGAGUUUAAGAAAGAACUCGACCUGGAUGACCACAAACUCAGCCACAAGGAAUUGGAAAGGAAAUAUGGUACGGACAUCGUUACGGGUCUCUCCAGCUCCAGAGCUGCCGAGCUGCUGGUUCGGGACGGGCCCAACGCCCUCACCCCUCCCAAGCAGACGCCGGAGAUUAUCAAGUUCCUCAGGCAGAUGGUGGGGGGCUUCUCCAUCCUCCUGUGGAUAGGAGCCGUCCUGUGCUACAUCGCGUAUGGGAUUCUGUACUCCAACGACUCCUCUUCCUCCCUAGACAACGUGUACCUGGGCUCCGUACUUAUCCUGGUCGUCAUUUUAACGGGGAUCUUUGCUUAUUACCAAGAGGCAAAAAGCACCAACAUCAUGUCCAGCUUCAGUAAGAUGAUCCCGCAGCAAGCCAUCGUCAUCCGAGAUUCCGAGAAGAAGAUAAUCCCCGCAGAGCAGCUUGUGGUGGGGGACAUCGUGGAGGUCAAAGGAGGAGACCAGAUCCCCGCGGACAUCAGGGUGCUGUUUUCUCAGGGGUGCAAGGUGGAUAAUUCGUGUCUCACGGGGGAAUCUGAGCCCCAGUCCCGCUCUUCUGAGUUCACCCACGAAAACCCCCUGGAAACGAAGAACAUCUGCUUCUAUUCCACAACCUGUCUGGAAGGCACCGUCACCGGCAUGGUCAUCAGCACGGGUGACCGCACCGUCAUCGGCCGCAUUGCCUCCUUGGCUUUGGGAGUUGGAAACGAGAAGACGCCCAUUGCCAUUGAGAUCGAGCACUUUGUUCACAUCGUGGCAGGGGUGGCCGUCACCAUCGGCGUCAUAUUCUUCAUCAUCGCAGUGUGCAUGCAGUACUACAUCAUCGAUGCCAUCAUCUUCCUCAUCAGCAUCAUCGUGGCCAACGUGCCUGAGGGCCUGCUGGCCACUGUCACCGUGACACUAUCGCUGACCGCCAAGCGGAUGGCCAAGAAGAACUGCCUGGUGAAGAACCUGGAGGCGGUGGAGACCCUGGGCUCCACCUCCAUCAUCUGCUCCGACAAGACCGGGACUCUGACCCAGAACAGGAUGACCGUGGCCCAUCUGUGGUUCGACAGCCAGAUCUUCGUGGCGGACACCAGCGAAGACCAUUCCAACCAAGCCUUUGACCAAAGCUCCCAGACUUGGGCCUCCUUAUCCAAGAUCAUAACGUUGUGUAACCGGGCCGAGUUCAAGCCAGGGCAGGAAAGUGUCCCCAUCAUGAAGAAAGUCGUGGUUGGAGAUGCCUCCGAAACUGCUCUUUUGAAAUUCUCAGAGGUCAUUUUGGGUGAUGUGAUGGAAAUUAGAAAAAGAAAUCGCAAAGUAGCUGAAAUCCCCUUUAACUCUACUAACAAAUUUCAGCUCUCCAUACACGAGACGGAGGACCCCAGCGACCGGCGCUUCCUCAUGGUGAUGAAGGGGGCCCCGGAGCGGAUCCUGGAGAAGUGCAGCAGCAUCAUGAUCAACGGCCAGGAGCAGCCGCUGGACGCGGGCACGGCCAAGGCCUUCCACACGGCCUACAUGGAGCUGGGCGGGCUGGGCGAGCGCGUGCUGGGUUUCUGUCACCUCUACCUGCCAACAGACAAGUUCCCAGAAACCUACUCAUUUGACACGGACGCCAUGAACUUCCCCACCUCCAACCUCUGCUUUGUGGGGCUCUUGUCAAUGAUCGACCCCCCUCGGUCCACUGUGCCGGACGCCGUCACCAAGUGCCGCAGCGCGGGGAUCAAGGUCAUCAUGGUCACCGGCGAUCAUCCCAUCACAGCCAAAGCCAUCGCCAAGAGCGUGGGGAUCAUUUCGGCCAACAGCGAGACAGUGGAAGACAUCGCCAGUCGCCUCAACAUUGCUGUGGAGCAAGUGAACAAGUGGGACGCCAAGGCCGCCGUGGUGACCGGCCAGGAGCUGAAGGACAUGAGCCCGGAGCAGCUUGACCAGCUCCUGGCCAGCUACCCGGAAAUCGUCUUUGCCCGCACGUCCCCGCAGCAGAAGCUGAUCAUCGUGGAGGGCUGCCAGAGGCAGGACGCGGUCGUGGCCGUGACAGGGGACGGAGUUAACGACUCUCCCGCCCUGAAGAAGGCAGACAUCGGCAUCGCCAUGGGCAUCGCGGGCUCCGACGCAGCCAAGAACGCCGCCGACAUGGUCCUGCUGGAUGACAACUUCGCGUCCAUCGUCACGGGGGUGGAGGAGGGCCGCCUGAUCUUUGACAACCUGAAGAAGACCAUCGCGUACACCCUGACCAAGAACAUCGCCGAGCUCUGCCCCUUCCUCAUCUACAUCAUCGCGGGGCUGCCCCUGCCCAUCGGCACCAUCACCCUCCUGUUCAUCGACCUGGGCACAGACAUCAUCCCCUCUGUUGCCUUGGCCUACGAGAAAGCCGAGAGUGACAUCAUGAACAGGAAGCCUCGCCACAAGAAGAGGGACAGACUGGUGAACAUGCCCCUUGCCGUGUACUCCUACCUGCACAUCGGCCUCAUGCAAGCCCUGGGAGCCUUCCUCGUGUAUUUCACCGUCUACGCGCAGCAGGGCUUUCUGCCCCUCGCUCUCAUUAACCUGCGGGUGGAGUGGGAAAAGGAUUACGUGAAUGACUUGGAAGACAGCUACGGCCAGGAGUGGACUCGGUACCAGAGGCGACACCUAGAAUGGGCCGGCUACACGGCUUUCUUCGUGGGCAUCCUCGUCCAGCAAAUAGCAGAUCUGAUCAUCAGGAAGACCCGGAGGAACUCCAUCUUCCAGCAGGGUCUCUUCAGAAAUAAAGUCAUCUGGGUGGGGAUCUUCUCGCAGAUCGUCGUCGGGCUGCUCGUCUGCUACGGCCUUGGGAGUGUCACAGCCCUGAGUUUCGCCGUGCUCAGGAGAGCAGGGAAAAUGGACAGGAAGCCCGUGCCCGUUGGCCAGGUUGGCCUGUCCCUUUGGACGAGCCAGGACUCACUUCCCUCCCUUCUGCUCCCAGGGCUCAGUACUGGUUUGUGGCCGUGCCACACGCCAUCCUGAUUUGGGUGUACGACGAGGGGCGGAAACUCUUCAUCAGGCUCUACCCUGGAAGCUGGUGGGAUAAGAACAUGUACUACUGAGACCACCUCCCUGCCCGGGGCUCCCGGCGGCACACUGGGGAUGCUCCUGUUUGUCCUCUGGGCACUCGCCCGGAGAUCCCUCUGCAGCGCCGACGUCGUCAAGAUGCACACGAGCAAGCGUUUGUGCAGAAAGCCACGUGAACGACGCUCACUGAGGUUUUGUCCUUUAAAGCUGAGAUUCCACUAUUUAUAUAUGAUUUUCAUCUCUAUCCCAUCUCCUUAUUUUAGAUAUGUGAAUUUCAAGGUCUUGGUCUAGGGAAGGACUGUUAAUGCACAUAAAACUCCCUGAUGUUAAAUGGUCUUGAACCCCAGGCAUCCGCUGGGGUCUGCCUCGCGCCCCAGACAGGAUUGCUUAGGCCGCCUUCCCACACCCUAUUAAAGGCCAGUGACCUCCCCAAGAUUCUUGUGAAUCCCCUAGAACGUAUAUUUUUGUAAUCGCCUUGCUCAGGAAAGGCUAACUCAGCCAAAGAUUUGCAGGAGAUAGAAGUGGUGGCAGGUUUACGUCGCAGGCGCACGGAGGACCUCAGUUCUGACUCAGGGACGUCCUUGUUGAAGGCUCUCGCCACCUGGCCGUGACUGUUUCCCUGACCGUGUCACCUCCUUGACACCUCUCGUCACCUCUCCAGCCCUUUUGUCCCCCUCCGCCAUGGCCUUCCACCCCUGCCACCAGCUCUGAGCUCCACGUCCAUCUUGCAGACCCCAACUCAGAAUGCUCAGCUGACGCGAAGGGGCGUCGCCAGCAUCCAACCCCAGCGGAGAGCACUGUGGUUUCGGUACUCGAUAUUUAUUUCUUGUAAAGCAGGUGCCAGGCGCGCUCCAGCGGUAAUGUCAUGUCAGCCAUGUUCAUGGUCACGGGCCUGGAGAGGCCUCGUUUUUAAGUAAAAGACGUUUUAUAAAACCA